UAAGUAUAAAUAGUAUACAGUGUAACUGCAAAUGGCUCAUUAAAACAGUUAUAGUUUAUUUGAUAAUUGAAGGCUACAUGGAUAACCGUGGUAAUUCUAGAGCUAAUACAUGCUAUCAGGCCCAACUUCGCAGAAGGGUUGUAUUUAUUAGAUAUAAGCCAAUAUUCCUUCGGGUCUAUUGCGGUGAUUCACAAUAACUGAUCGAAUCUCUUUUAGAGAUAAAUCAUUCAAGUUUCUGCCCUAUCAGCUUUCGAUGCUUAGGUAUUGACUAAAGCAUGGCUUUAACGGGUAACGGAGAUUCAGGGUUCGAUUCCGGAGAGGGAGCCUGAGAAACGGCUACCACAUCUAAGGAAGGCAGCAGGCGCGUAAAUUACCCAAUCCUGAUUAAGGGAGGUAGUGACAAGAAAUAACAAACAGGGGAUUUUUUAAAUCUUACUGUAUUGCAAUGAGGAAAAUUUAAAAACCUUAUCGAGAAACAAGUGGAGGGC
rnacentral:rRNA from 1 species